rnacentral:lncRNA from 1 species
AGAGCGGGAUUAUUGGUUAAUGAAAUUUGGAACGACACCGAUAUUCAAAUCGGUAUCUUUCAUUGCUCACUAACUCUUACCUACUCCCACCCCGAAUUCUUUCUGUGGGAAUCCUAAAUAAAUAAAAAAAAAAAAAAGAUCCCAUUUUACGGAAUGCUAGACUAUUUUGUAUAGAUACAAAGACAAAAGGGCCCAGAUUAAGUCAUUGUUUCCUUUCUAAUUUGUUGUUUUUUAUUUUAAUCUAACCUAGUCUUACUUAAGAGACUUAAUCCCGAAUUCAAUCAGUACCAGGAAUACCCUCUUGUUUAGAAUUCCGAAAUGAAAAGAGAAUAAUUGGGAUUCUAAAAAGAUAGGAAUGGGGAGGCUUUCCCAUUUCGAUUUAGAAUGGAUCUUUGAAAAUUCAAUUCGAGGGGGGGGCGUCAGACUUUUCU